rnacentral:rRNA from 1 species
GACGAACGCUGGCGGCGCGCCUAACACAUGCAAGUCGAACGAGAGAGGAAGAGCUUGCUUUUCCGAUCGAGUGGCGAACGGGUGAGUAACGCGUGAGGAACCUGCCUCAAAGAGGGGGACAACAGUUGGAAACGACUGCUAAUACCGCAUAAGCCCACGGCUCGGCAUCGAGCAGAGGGAAAAGGAGCAAUCCGCUUUGAGAUGGCCUCGCGUCCGAUUAGCUAGUUGGUGAGGUAACGGCCCACCAAGGCGACGAUCGGUAGCCGGACUGAGAGGUUGGACGGCCAAAUUGGGACUAGGACACGGCCCAGACUCCUACGGGAGGCAGCAGUGGGGAAUGUUGCACAAUGGGGGAAACCCUGAUGCAGCGACGCCGCGUGGAGGAAGAAGGUCUUCGGAUUGUAAACUCCUGUUGUUGAGGAAGAUAAUGACGGUACUCAACAAGGAAGUGACGGCUAACUACGUGCCAGCAGCCGCCGUAA